rnacentral:rRNA from 1 species
CCUACGGGAGGCAGCAGUAGGGAAUAUUGCUCAAUGGGGGAAACCCUGAAGCAGCAACGCCGCGUGGAUGAUGAAGUUUUUCGGAUCGUAAACUCCUUUUGUUAGAGAAGAUAAUGACGGUAUCUAACGAAUAAGCACCGGCUAACUCCGUGCCAGCAGCCGCGGUAAUACGGAGGGUGCAAGCGUUACUCGGAUUCACUGGGCGUAAAGAGCGCGUAGGCGGGAGAGCAAGUCAGAAGUGAAAUCCUAUGGCUUAACCAUAGAACUGCAUUUGAAACUGUGAUUCUAGAGUAUGGGAGAGGUAGGUGGAAUUCUUGGUGUAGGGGUAAAAUCCGUAGAGAUCAAGAGGAAUACUCAUGGCGAAGGCGACCUGCUAGAACAUAACUGACGCUGAUGCGCGAAAGCGUGGGGAGCAAACAGGAUUAGAUACCCCGGUAGUC